rnacentral:rRNA from 1 species
UCGGGAAUUUUGGGCAAUGGGCGAAAGCCUGACCCAGCAACGCCGCGUGAAGGAUGAAGUAUUUCGGUAUGUAAACUUCGUAAGAAUAGGAAGAAUAAAUGACGGUACUAUUUGUAAGGUCCGGCUAACUACGUGCCAGCAGCCGCGGUAAUACGUAGGGACCAAGCGUUGUUCGGAUUUACUGGGCGUAAAGGGCGCGUAGGCGGUGUGUCAAGUCAGUUGUGAAAUCUCCGAGCUUAACUCGGAACGGUCAACUGAUACUGUCACACUAGAGUACAGAAGGGGCAAUCGGAAUUCUUGGUGUAGCGGUGAAAUGCGUAGAUAUCAAGAGAAACACCUGAGGUGAAGACGGGUUGCUGGGCUGACACUGACGCUGAGGCGCGAAAGCCAGGGGAGCAAACGGGAUUAGAUACCCCAGUAGUCCCUGAGCGGGCUGGCAAGGCGCAU